GUAAAAUCAUGUCCACAUUUAGCAUGUACAUACUUGUCACAGUCAAAACACCUUAUCGUGCGAAAAGUCUAAGGCUCUAUGCUUGUUAUCUCUACAAUAUAUGUCGUGCAUAACUCACUGGCAGUCUUUGUCAAGUUCGUUUGAACAUAUCCUUCUGUCGGACUGUAAUCGUAAUGUUCAUUUCUCUUGCAUAUCAUUUUUCUUGGACCUAAUAAGUGAAAAAAACGUAUAUUCAGUAUAUGUACCAUGGUGUCGCUAAACAAUCAUGGUGAAGAACUAUUAUAACAUAUAUAUAGUCUAGGUACAUGUAAUAAUUUUUAUAGCUCAAGAACAAUUUCAUAAGUAUGUGAAUCAGAUGUUCAAUAAGUUGAUGUCAUCCAAAGUUCAAAUGCACGGACGUUUAUUUUUCGAACCUUUAAAAUGUCAAGAAAAUUGUAGAGGAAAUUGUCAAAAGGAAGCUUCUCUAACCUGGUGUAGGCAACGAUGUUAAUUAUAAAACCAAAGUAAAUUUCAACAGUGAUCUCCGACACAGAAUCUGUUCAAUGUUCUACUGGCCAUUCUGCUGCUCUUUUCAGGCCUUUCUUCCACACGACAUGGAAUUACAUGUUGACAUCAUAAACAUUUGUUUGCUUUCCUUAUGAGACUCCUCACAACUGAUUAAACAACUACUUGCAGCUUAAGGUUUGCAGGAUGAGAUUCCUCGCAAGAAAUCAAUACAUCAAGGGUUCAUCUCUUAAAGUUUGUAAUAUGUGUGCUAUGGAGUCUAUCUGUAUAUGAAUAUCGAGUUGUCUGCUCUCACGUCUUGAUCUUUCUGGAAAGUUUUGCUGAUGGAAUUGUUGCAAGGAUGGUAGUGCUUUUAGGGUAGCAUGCUUUGUAAAAACAACAGGAUGGUUUCCUUAAUACAAAUCAUAGGGCGCACUUUUAGUCAAAAAUAAAUACCUGCAGCUAGGCAGCUGGCUAUAGAACUGGCUCUUGUUCAUCUCUAUCAAGGUCAAGAUAUGUCAGAACAAUCCUGGUAGCAAAGAAAUCAUACAUGUUAGAGAAGCAAGCGUAAAGAUAUUAUUAUAUUAUGAUAGGGUGCCUACAACUUGAGAAGCAAUAUAGUGUGGAGAGAAGAAGAAACCUAGGAAAGAAACCAUGAAAAUGUACCAAGCCAAACACUAUUUAAUUAGGAGUAGAAUCUGAGAAAAAAAUCAAAUCCAAGUAGGAGAAAAACGAACUGAUCUAACUGAUCCUUACUCUUGAACUGUUCUUUUGAAAUAGCCACCAUCGGAAUUCAUUCAAGCACAGCUGGUAAGAAAAAAAAUCACUAUUGCUUUUCCGAACAUCUAGGUGGUGCAAGAAGAAACAUUCAUAAUUCUGGACGUACACCGAAUUUGUAUCAGAAAACAUGAGACGCGUUACGGUUGAUUUGGUCUGCAGCGAUAAAACAAUGGCCAAUCGAAAAACUGUUUAAUCUGCACAUAACACAACAACUGCUAUUACUUGAUGAGUAUUGUUUUUUUAUUCAAUUCAUCUAUAGUUAUAAGAAUAUGCAAGCAUGUGGAAAACGUAUGUACAUAUUAGUAGCUAAUGUUACUUGGAGCCUAUGCCAUGUAAUGUACUGUGUCCGAAAUUAAAUUUAAGGCCUCAGACGUUGAUUUGGAGCAUAUAUUGUUAGCUUUUAUACGUAAUUAUAUCCCUUUUGAGUUGUAAAUCACCAUAGUCAUCGGAAGAGAAAGAGCCCAUGCAUAUCUACGCUCUCUAAACUUUACAUCAAAGAAAUUGUGAGCAGAUCCAAGUUAAAUUACUAAGCUGAGCAAGCGUGAUUGGAGCCGUCCAGAUAAAAGGAUAUCAUGCAAAAGGUUAUUCUAUUGUGCUGAGAGGAGUAAUUCUUACAGAUGAAGGUACGUCUUGCCUUCGUUCUGUCGUAGAUGACAUAGUUCGUAGACUGUUCUGCUGGUUAAAAAUAAAAAUCUCUCCUAGGCGCUGUCGCUUGAAAGGAACGUGCACGCUGGGCAUCUUCUUGUGGUUGUAGGCCAUGCUGAUCUUUAACUCGCAGCAUGAUCUUACACCUUGAUCAACUGUAUGACAAAUCUACAAAACAAAGACCCAUAGCUAUGGCAUGAGUUACAUAAUAAACUCCAGCUAGAAGUAAUCGAAGCACAUACCUACCUCUUCCUUGAAGAUCUUCAUGUUUUUCUCCGGCAGCAUGUUGAGGUCCUUGACACCUAAUAGCUAUCAUCAUGAAACGAUGGAGUCAUACAUGUAUGUGGCUUUGGCUGUUCGGGCUAGGGAAUUACUGAGGUACAGCUUAGUAGGUCAGAGUGUGAUUUAGGCAACUGCCGGGUUGAUCUGCCUCAUACCUGAUCGGUAGGAGGCAUCCAUGUAAGACCGAAAGAAAUCAGUGUCACAAAGCCAACCGGGAAAAGACCCUCGAGGGAGGUUCGAGAGUCAACCCAAGAAGAACAUGUAAAAAAAAUUGAAUCCGAAUUAAAUAAAAAGAUAUGGGUUAUUCAAGUCUAAACAUGGAAGAAAAAAAAUCAAGAAAGAACUGUGUGAGAGAAUGAACCUGAUCCAGAUGAGUUAAAUAUUUUUUUAUGCGACGAACUCCUUGAGCAAAUGGGAUAUACAUGCCCCAAUUUGCUUGCUUUAGUUUAACGGAGAGUAGAUGGAUUUGUUUUUCACGUGAGAAAGAGAGAGAGAAUUCACCGAAGAGAUUUCCUGUCGCCAGAUUGUAUCCAGGUGAAGUUGGAUUUGUUUUUCACGGGCUAGAGAGAGAGAAUCCACCUAGAUAUUUCCUGUCUCCAGAUUGUCUCCAGAUUUUGUUAUAUCUUCUUUAAACGGGGAAAAGAAGAGACGGCUAGAUAGAACUGAGAUGGUCCUAGAUUUUUG
rnacentral:lncRNA from 1 species